rnacentral:lncRNA from 1 species
GGCUGGGAUCCAUGUCGUCCUUACAACAGUUCAGCAAGAAACAUGUUAUUCGAUCCAUUCACUGAGGAGGAAACUGAAAUCACUCGGAGAGGAGGAGUGAUUCAGCCCCAAAUUCCAAAGUGGUAGAAAUGGACUUGGGCUUCCCUAAUGUCUUAGCUAGUCCCCCAUCUACCUGUCCAUUCCUGGGACAGGUGAGGUAAGACAGUAGGGACCAGACAGUAACUGAUGGUGCAGAGGAGUCCUUGACUUAACAGGCCACUUGAUGCCAAAGAAUAGCUACUACAAACACCAGCUCCUAGCAAACAGCCCACACUGACCAGCCAAUUGCCUGAGGCCAGAUAGGUUUGCACACAACCUUCAAUCUGUUAAGAAAGGGCCUUGGGUCCAGCCACCCUUGAGUGUGGGAAUCAGUGAGUCUAGCACAGGGCUUACCCGGAAUUUCAUCAGCCCUCAGAACCAAGCUUUGUGACCCAUAGGGUAAUCAUGCCACAAACAAUCCAACCAAAAUGAAACCAUCCCAGGCCACUCUGAACUUAGAAGCCAAAGCGGGAAACAGAGAACUCUACCAAUGUGGAGGCAUCACUCUAUCCUGGGCCCAGCAAACUCAGGAGGCAGCUGCAUCUACAUUUCGAUUAAGCAUCGAGAGAUGCAAGGAAGUAUUACUGACUUCUAAAUUUUCCCUUCACCAUAGUCAUUCUGCCUGAACUUCCACAGUUAGACUGAGACAUAAAAUGCUAAUCUACCUGGAAAGACAGGGGUAUAUGUCAGAGCCAUUCUUCCAGAUCAGAUGACCUGUUAAACUGAGACUUCUGCACCAUCUGAACCAUCAGUCACUCUCUGGCCCAGAGAGGUGGUGUUAUUUGCCAAGGACACACAGCAGGUGGCCAAGAUGGAGCCAAGCCAUUUUCCCCACUGCAGGGACCCCUGAUCUCCAUUCCCCUGGACAUCUCAAGGGCACAAAUUCUCUGGACACACGGAGGGAAUAAUGCUGACAUUUUAUAGAAGCUGACCCACUGGAUAUCCUUCUCACCCAACUCCAUUAGGCUGGGGAGAGUAAGAGGCACGGUGACAAGGUGGCAAAGAUGUCACCAUGCCAUCCAAUCACGAGGUCUCCAGGAAACUGUAUAAGAAGGACACCUCCAGAAACUCCUGGCACUACUGAACAAAUGUAUAAUAUCCCUGGGUAAAACCAAGAGUCCUCUCGCCUUCUCGCCAUUUGGUAACUGUUGUGCGCCUGACACAGCUUUACCCUCUUUGAAUGGGGAGAGCAGUAGUUUCUGUUCCACAGGUUGCUAUAAGGAUGAACUGUGAUCUCAUCAUUCCUCAUAAUAAUGGCUUAUCAAGAUGAAGUAAUGAUUACCAUUGCCAUUUUACUGAUGAUGAAACAAAGGCUAAGAGACUUGAAGAAUUUGCCCACAAUCUUGUAGCAAUGAAGGUACAGAGUCAGCCAUCUGGAACUCAAGCUGGCUCGACCCUCUGCCCCUCCAAACUGGACAUACAAGGUCAGGUCACUGCAUUCAUUCCUUACCUUGUACAGUGCCCAGAUUAUUCAUCUGUGUUACAAGGCAGGUAGAGAAGAGAUUAUGGACUCGGUUUUGUAUGGGCAAACUGAGGCACACAGUCAGAAAGAAUACACCAGCUGUUCUUUAGCUGAGAGGCCUUAGUUUCUUCCACCAGGACCAUCUAUGAAUAUGACCACCAUGUCUCUUCCACUGUCCACCAGGAGAUACUCCCUAGCAUGUCCCAACAGUGAAGGCUCAACAGAUCCUAAUAGCCUAAGACAGAUAAGAAACCAGGCUGUCUAAUUUCCCCCGGGGAUUAGGGAGCUACCAGUCCAGUUCCUCACAGAAGCAUGAUGCUGUGGCAGGACUAUGGAGCGAGGAGUCAGGAGACCUGGGAUGUGGUCUGGGCUCAGUUACCAGUGACCAUGUGACCCCAACAAGUCACUUUCCUACCUCCUGCUAGAGACAAGCUGGAAGCCACACUCAUGACCCAUGAUCAAACUCCCUCAGCACUUUGCAAAUAGACUUUCUGACCUACAUACAUCUGCAGUCCCCGUCAGUGGAUUGUCUCCACAAUUUCUUACCAAAAGCGAAACCUCUCAGGCUAAUGAGGCCAGAAAUGAGGAGUGCAUGGGCCUGUCUUUUGCCAUAAAUAAGGUCUUGGGGGGAAAAUCCAGAACCUAUUCCAGAGAGGGGUGGAAAAACACCCCACCUCAUUUUAUAUCCCAUGUGGUCCCAAAACCUUACAGGUGCUUCCAACAAGAAGGCCAGCACUGCCUUCUUAUGAAAAUAAAAAAACCCCAGUUUGCAUCAAGGCACAUUUUGCAUGCUUGAAGAGUAUUUAUAGCCAGAUUCUUAGAGGCUCCUCAUCUCCUCUUCUGCUCCUUCACAAAUGAAGCACUUAAAUCAUUUUGCAAUAGUGAUGUCUUUUUAAUAAGCCUAGUCAAAUGGAGUUUUCACUGACGAGACACGACACGUUUUAGCAAUGUUUAUAUUACUGUUUCUCCCCCUCCAGAGACAAAGGGGUGGCAUGCAGAGGCCACGAACCGCAGCAGGGGUGUCAUCAUGAUGCAUGGUCCUGGAAGGGUGUCUGAUCCCUGUCUGUUAACAGAAAUUCCCUUCCAAGGAAGCAGAUGCACAUGGAAGAAGAUAUCUUCUAGCUGUUCUCUGGCCUAAUGUGUCUCAAAGUGUGGUCCCAGGACAGGCACCUUUAGCACUCUAGCAUGUUAGAAAUACAGCCUCCCCAAGGCCACGCCAAGCCUACUGAUUCAGAAUCUCUAAGGCUGGAGUCUAGCAAUCUGUAUUCGGAGAAGUCUUACAGGGCAUUCUGACACAUUUGCAAGUGUGAGAACCACUGCUCUAAAGCAACCUCACCCUCUGAAUCAGGAUUGCCUAGGGGCUGGAGGGCUCCCUACCCCCCAUACCAAGAACCUCCUCUUGGGUCAGACCCUCAGGAGGUGGACUGGGGAAGAUACAGAGCUAACUGUUCCCCAGGUGACUGGAAUGCUCUUUAAAGUGUAAUUACAGGUCUGGUGCAAUGGUUCACGCCAGCACUCUGGGAGGCCAAGGCAGGAG